UACAAUGACUAUUCUUGAUGGUUAGGUUGU
rnacentral:piRNA from 1 species